CUACAAGCUUCAGUGUUAACGAGGGAUUGAGAGACGACCGUCGUCGGAAACAGUGAGCGGGCGACGGACGUCGACACGGGGGAAGCCGCAUUCCCGUUACGUCAUCAUGGAGGGCUCGUCACAAUCUCCGUUCGUGAUUGACGCUGUGAAGGGAGAGAUGCGCACGGCAGUGGCGCUAGACUACGAGACGCAGAGAGAGCACGUCGUCAUGGUUAACCGCGCCGUCGACAGGCGCUGGUAGUCGCAGGCGAGGUCGGUGCACGUGCCCG